UACGAAGGGGGCUAGCGUUGCUCGGAAUCACUGGGCGUAAAGGGUGCGUAGGCGGGUCUUUAAGUCAGGGGUGAAAUCCUGGAGCUCAACUCCAGAACUGCCUUUGAUACUGAAGAUCUUGAGUUCGGGAGAGGUGAGUGGAACUGCGAGUGUAAGAGGUGAAAUUCGUAGAUAUUCGCAAGAACACCAGUGGCGAAGGCGGCUCACUGGCCCGAUACUGACGCUGAUGCACGAAAGCGUGGGAGCAAACAGG
rnacentral:rRNA from 1 species